UAUCCCUCAGGUUCACUGUAACUCUAUUGGUUGAUGUUUUAGCAAUCAUUUUCAGUUUUCAUUUGUCUUCCGUGCUGAAACGUUACAGAUAGGCAUCAUUGGGCGUCAGAACGUCGGGAAUUCAAGUCUUUGAAAUACAUGGAGAAAAAGUGAAAAAAAUUAUUGCAGAAGUCGCUGGAACUACGCGAGACGUAGUGGAACCACAAAAAACUUGCACCAUAGAAGAAUGCUUUGAGAAAAGUAAUACUAAGGUGGAGAAAGUGAAGAACUGUACAUGGGACAAACAACUGGAAAAGUGUUCUUCAAACUUUCAUGUCAGGCUGAAAAUAGGAAUCAAACAUCUCCUGAGACUUUUUGGGAUAGUGACCAACUUGGUUUAUUCGGUUACAGUCAGAAAUGUAUCGAGCAUGAUCAGUUGUCUACUAUGAAGCACAACGGAUACGGUUAUAGCCAGAUGAUAUACUGAGGAAAUGUCUUCCUUUUCGGAUGUGACACCCAGAGAUUGUUCAAGCCAUGUUCCAUGAGAGUUGUUCGGAUGGUCAGUGUGCACCGAGGAUAGAGAGGACUGCUUAUAUGAAGCCAAUGCAUUUGAGACUUAAGGAACAAUGUGUUCGAGAACUUGAAGCAGUGCAAAGUCUAUCCCUUAGUUUUCAAAUUGUUCAAAAACGAACCUCAGUGUUCUUUUGUGUAUGAUACAAAAUGGAAAUUGGGUUACAAAGUAAAUGAAUUCUA